GUGGCCCAUCGCAGCCGCUUAUGCUAAUACUGCGCAGCUUGUGGGCAACCACCUCCGCCAUGGUUUCUGGAGAGGAAAGCAAAGUCUGUAGGAAAUGCUGGGAGAGCCACACCUGCCUUCUUUUUAGCUUAUUACUCAUCUCUGCCCGCUCACAGGACUUUCACGUUUACUUUAAGGCAACUGGGUCUUUCCUCUUCCAUUUCUGAAGCUCCUCCUGCAUCUUAUCAAUUUUGGCUGGAUUCAGAGCCCACAGACAGCCUUUCCGAGAAGAAUUGCCUGACUUGUUUUCAACUUUCUCAAAGCAUUUGUUCAAAGAUAAGUUGUGGCGUACAGAAUUCUUCCAGCCAUCUGGAGCUGUCUGGAAAAACAAAUCCAAUCUAAGAAUGGAACUUGAAGGAAAGAAAUGUCCAAAAAAGUAUCUCCGUUUUGACUGGCAGUCUCUGAUUAAUGAGGUAAACAAAAUUCCCUCCGUGACUUGUAGUUGAAUGCAACAUCGUCCGCAAGAGUGGAAAGAGGAGAAAACCUAGUGCUGAAAAAACUCACUGCUGUAUAAGUGUAGCAGUAUGUUUCUGCAAAAUGGGAAAUAGCUUUGUCUGUUGUCAUUGUCUAUUCGUAUAUUUUCAAAUGCUUGUUUUCAUUAUUUUUUGUUAGGAUAAUGUUUGAAAAGAAAAGUGAAGGCAUUUCUUCUGACUUUAAUAUUUGAGACUGUUGGUCAUUUUUGUCAGUUGACUUACAAACUGAUAUUUUUAUUUUACAUUUUUUUGGUUGCUUGUAAAAGAACUGCAAAAAUGAAUAUUGCUGAAAAGAUGCAGAAAGUACCCAGCAACACUGUCAUUCUCAGAUAUGGAUGAGAAAUGUCUGUGUUGGUCUAAAAUUCUGAUCUUGAAAAAGUGGCUCUGUAUCCUCUUAUUCCAUAUAGAUUUUGUUGCUAUUUGUUUUAUUUCACUCAUUUCUGCGUACUUAGUCAUGCAGCCAGAAGAUACUGCCCUUCACGUUAAGACUUUGUAAAUCAGUAUCGUCACUGGUAUCAAAAGAUUCCUACAGUAAAUUUCUGAUGUGUCGCUUCUUUGUUCUCCUUUUCAUAGGCACUGUACAAUGCUAUUUGUUGCAUUUCUGAGUAGAAGCUACCUUAGCUCAUUCCCACUUUGAUAUAAUCUUAAAGAAAAUGGAGAGGGGAAGAGUUGCUAUAUUAUGCUAUCAUGGUAGGAAUCAACCUGAGAACCCCAGCUUCAGCGUGAUAGAUGCAACUGUUAGUACAGCAGUUCUUCUUCCCCUGCCAUUAUAAGAUCAAUUAAAAAAAAUAAAUUGUAGCUUUACCUGAGUCAGUCAAAUGAUAUUCUUUCCAAAAGGUCUGCGUUUGCAGAGAUGAAAGAAGAAAUCUCAAGUGAGAAAGACUUUAGAGCUCAUCGGAUUACAAAGAAUGAUCUUCAGUACUAGUGUAUGUGAGGCCUUUUUUCCUUUUUUUAAUCAAUUUUGGAUGCUUUUCCUUUCUUGUUUCCAAAAAAUCCUCAUCUGUCUGUCAUAAGAAUUAAAAGAAAAUGAACAACUCUCUGAAAGGUGUGUAGAGUUGCCUAUGUGCCACUGAUGAUUCAUAUUCAUGAAUGUAAAAUAUUUUUCAUAAUUGUUUAUAUCAACCGUAGAGUAUUAUUGAACAAAGAGCACAAGAAAUAAAUAUGAUUUUCCAUAAUCUUUUUUAAGAAGUUAAAAAAUUAAAAUUUCCCUUUUAUGUGCAUUAAGGUUCCUUUCCAUUCUUAUGUUUUAGUAAUAUGGAUCUUUUUCAUAUAGAAUGUCUACCUUUAGGUAGUUUUUCUAAUUGCUGGUUAGUGUAAAAGAAGGUCUUAGAGGAAGUCUCUUAGACUUGUGCCCAUUUUUGCUUACAUACGAUAUACCAUAAAUUCUGGAAAAUACUUUGAAAGAAAUUCUAUUUUUACCAGUACUCUGAAAUCUGUUCUUUCGUAGCUUGUUGUAAGAGACUAUCCUGUGGGAUAAGGAGUUAACAUCCCAACUGAAUUAGUCAGAUUUAAUG